rnacentral:lncRNA from 1 species
CUUCCUCCUCUGAAACUACUGUUCAUACUAAAAAAACACUUACCCAGCACUGCCAAGUGCCAGGGGCUCAAUGCCUUCUAACAACUCAUUUAAUCCUUAUGACUCUCUGUGAAGUGGGCCUUAGUGUACCCAUUUGAUACACGAGGAAACUCAGGACAGAGAAAGCAUGAAACGUUCCCAAGGUCCCACAGCUCCAGAGUGGAGAAGCCAGGAUUGGACUGAGGUGGUCUGGCCCCCACCUCUCUCAACACCGGCCUAUGCUGCUCUCUUUGCAAAACAGAAAUCUGUAGGAAGAUCAGCUGCCUGUCUAGCAAUGGGGAGUCGCCGGUGAGAACAGGAGUAAUCUGUCAUGAAAACGGAUCCUAUUAACAGGAUGGUGAGGCCAAACCAUUUUGUUUCCCAGAAAUGACAGCUGAAAGCACUGAAAUGUCAGUCCAGAAACGAAGGCCUUUAGGAGAUUUGUGACAAGCACUCAAGCCACAGUUUUGUUAAAACUCCCCAGGGAAGGUGAGCAGUGGCCAUUGGUCACCAGCGUCUGGAGCCAGAAAGGAGACCUCCCGGGUCCUGAGGCUCCCAGGCCAGGCCUCGGCUUGGAUGUCGGCUCGGCUCUUCCACACACAUCGCCCCAUCUCGGCCCCACGACAACCCUCCAAAGCCAGUGUGACUUUUAAGGACACCAGGGUGAGAAAUGAGCCGAUGAGAGGGAGGGCGGGGACUGAGGCCAGGCGAGGCCAGUGGACCUCCUCUCCAUACACACUGCUCAGCCUCACUGCGCCCCACCGUCUGCCCUUCUGCCAUGAGAUGUGUUUUCUAUUCUUGAAAGACGGGCUGGAAGCACGUCCCCAUGUGCUGGGGGAGGUUCUAGCUGUGCAGCCAUGGGUGGGAGGCCUUCCUGAGACACCCACUGUCACCCAUGGCACAUGGGCGGCCCGAGGAAGCUGGUAAGGCUGCAUGUGGGGCCAUGUGGGACGCUGUGGCAGCCUUGCCCUAGGAAGGGUAUGGGGAGGCAUUUAUAGUUUCUUUAAGAAAAAAAUGACAAUAACUACAACAUCAGGUACAGGGCCUGGAGGGAGUUCCUGCCGGCGAGGGGCCCCGAGCUUGAGUCUGCCCCUACAUGACCCCAUGGGGGCGCCCUGCUAAUCCUAUCCUUCCCACUGAAGAAGCUAUGCAAACUUCCCAAAUGGUGACAAAAGGUUUUACCCUUCCCCAUGGAAAAGCAGCUGUAAAUGCAAGUAAAUGUAUAAAAUGACUCCCCCUAAAAAGGAGGAAUCGACAUUUUUCAAAGCUAAAUGCACAGAUGUUUGGGGUGGAUGAAUCCAUGGGGGUUGUCCCUGCCUUGCAGGAGGUUGGGUGGCAUCCCUGGCCUCCGGCCGCUCCCUGCCGGACUCACCCCCAGCCUGAGCUCUCCUGACAUUUCCACGAGAACCCACCCCUAGAUGAGAACCGCUCCUGUGGGACACAGGUUUCAAACUCUUUUCUUGACGUGACUAAAUUAUUUUCUGAUCUUACACAGGAGCCCAGUAAGUACAACGGGGACCAGAGGGGCAGCUCUGGUUGGUGUGCCCGCGCCCCCUCUUCGGAGGACAUUCUGCGGGGAGGUGCGUCUUACCCUCCCAUCCAACUGGCCUUCACUUGGCAGGAGGCCUGAGGGGCACCCCGCUGAUC